CCUACGGGAGGCAGCAGUAGGGAAUAUUGCUCAAUGGCGGAAACCCUGAAGCAGCAACGCCGCGUGGAGGAUGAAGGUUUUCGGAUUGUAAACUCCUUUUGUUAGAGAAGAUAAUGACGGUAUCUAACGAAUAAGCACCGGCAAACUCCGAGCCAGCAGCCGCGGUAAUACGGAGGGUGCCAGCGUUACUCGGAAUCACUGGGCGUAAAGAGCGCGUAGGCGGGAUAGCAAGUCAGAUGUGAAAUCCUAUGGCUUAACCAUAGAACUGCAUUUGAAACUGUUAUUCUAGAGUAUGGGAGAGGUAGGUGGAAUGCUUGGUGUAGGGGUAAAAUCCGUAGAGAUCAAGAGGAAUACUGAUUGCGAAGGCGACCUGCUAGAACAUAACUGACGCUGAUGCGCGAAAGCGUGGGGAGCGAACAGGAUUAGAUACCCCUGUAGUC
rnacentral:rRNA from 1 species